UGUAGCUCAGUGGAUAGAGCACAAGCCUCCGGAGCUUGGGGCCACAGGUUCAAAUCCUGUCAGGCGCGCCA
rnacentral:tRNA from 1 species